UACAGAGGGGGCAAGCGUUGUUCGGAAUUACUGGGCGUAAAGGGCGCGUAGGCGGCCUUCUAAGUCGAACGUGAAAUCCCCGGGCUCAACCCGGGAACUGCGUCCGAUACUGGAAGGCUUGAAUCCGGGAGAGGGAUGCGGAAUUCCAGGUGUAGCGGUGAAAUGCGUAGAUAUCUGGAGGAACACCGGUGGCGAAGGCGGUUCUCUGGGCAUUACCUGACGCUGAGGAGCGAAAGUGUGGGGAGCGAACAGG
rnacentral:rRNA from 1 species